GGUCGGCGUGCUUAACACAUGCAAGUCUCCCGGAAAGGCCCCUUUUGGGGUGCUCGAGUGGCGAACGGGUGAGUAACACGUGGGUGAUCUGCCCUGCACUUUGGGAUAAGCCUGGGAAACUGGGUCUAAUACCGGAUAGGACCAUGGGAUGCAUGUCUUGUGGUGGAAAGCUUUUGCGGUGUGGGAUGGGCCCGCGGCCUAUCAGCUUGUUGGUGGGGUGAUGGCCUACCAAGGCUGCGACGGGUAGCCGGCCUGAGAGGGUGUCCGGCCACACUGGGACUGAGAUACGGCCCAGACUCCUACGGGAGACAGCAGUGGGGAAUAUUGCACAAUGGGCGCAAGCCUGAUGCAGCGACGCCGCGUGGGGGAUGACGGCCUUCGGGUUGUAAACCUCUUUCACCAUCGACGAAGCCUUUAUUGGUGACGGUAGGUGGAGAAGAAGCACCGGCCAACUACGUGCCAGCAGCCGCGGUAAUACGUAGGGUGCGAGCGUUGUCCGGAAUUACUGGCGUAAAGAGCUCGUAGGUGGUUUGUCGCGUUGUUCGUGAAAUGCCACAGCUUAACUGUGGGCGUGCGGGCGAUACGGGCAGACUGGAGUACUGCAGGGGGAGACUGGAAUUCCUGGUGUAGCGGUGGAAUGCGCA
rnacentral:rRNA from 1 species